AUUGAACGCUGGCGGCAGGCCUAACACAUGCAAGUCGAGCGGAUGAAGGGAGCUUGCUCCUGGAUUCAGCGGCGGACGGGUGAGUAAUGCCUAGGAAUCUGCCUGGUAGUGGGGGAUAACGUCCGGAAACGGGCGCUAAUACCGCAUACGUCCUGAGGGAGAAAGUGGGGGAUCUUCGGACCUCACGCUAUCAGAUGAGCCUAGGUCGGAUUAGCUAGUUGGUGGGGUAAAGGCCUACCAAGGCGACGAUCCGUAACUGGUCUGAGAGGAUGAUCAGUCACACUGGAACUGAGACACGGUCCAGACUCCUACGGGAGGCAGCAGUGGGGAAUAUUGGACAAUGGGCGAAAGCCUGAUUCAGCCAUGCCGCGUGUGUGAAGAAGGUCUUCGGAUUGUAAAGCACUUUAAGUUGGGAGGAAGGGCAGUAAGUUAAUACCUUGCUGUUUUGACGUUACCAACAGAAUAAGCACCGGCUAACUUCGUGCCAGCAGCCGCGGUAAUACGAAGGGUGCAAGCGUUAAUCGGAAUUACUGGGCGUAAAGCGCGCGUAGGUGGUUCAGCAAGUUGGAUGUGAAAUCCCCGGGCUCGACCUGGGAACUGCAUCCAAAACUACUGAGCUAGAGUACGGUAGAGGGUGGUGGAAUUUCCUGUGUAGCGGUGAAAUGCGUAGAUAUAGGAAGGAACACCAGUGGCGAAGGCGACCACCUGGACUGAUACUGACACUGAGGUGCGAAAGCGUGGGGAGCAAACAGGAUUAGAUACCCUGGUAGUCCACGCCGUAAACGAUGUCGACUAGCCGUUGGGAUCCUUGAGAUCUUAGUGGCGCAGCUAACGCGAUAAGUCGACCGCCUGGGGAGUACGGCCGCAAGGUUA
rnacentral:rRNA from 1 species